AGUUUUAUUAGUAAGUAAUUCUUUUCUAAUAGUUUGCUCUCAGAAUAGAGAUUGUAACUUUUUAAAUAACUAUUAAAUCGAAUUUUACAGGAUAAUAAUAAUCAAAAUCCUAAUUCGAAUAGAAAAAUAACAUAAAACCUGAGAGUACACAAGAUAGGUUCUCAGGGUCUCCUCCGGGAACCCGCAGAAACAAACCCAGUCCUGAUGAACAGGAACAAAGGCCAGCUUUGAAGUCCUGUUUUACCCCCUCAAUUCAUACAAAAGUUGGAUCACAUGCAAGAAGCACACACAUCAUCCAAAAUGUCCCAUCUCUUAGAAUUUUAGUUACUUCACAGCAAAAAAAGAAGAAGAAGCUUAUAGACACAGAUGGGAAAACGCAGCAAGCCAGCAACUGGCAAAAACACAGAAGAAUGUUCUGGUGAAGGAGCUAGUACCUACAAAAUAGCACUAGCAAGGUUUUCAAUAGAUGAUUCAAAGCCUGUCAAGGCAGGAUUUUCAGCCUUUUCAGGAUCUUUUUGUUAAGCUAAACGUUGCAAACACAAACAACUACGACAAUAGAAGGGGGGUGACAACAGGUUAGGAAGUACAAAUCACUACAAACUAAAUAUUAAUCAAGGUCCCUUGCCUAUAAAUACCAAGCUUUGAUCUAUGGUCAUGGAGUCUUUUCUUGAUCCUUUGUUGGAACCCGGAAAAGACUGUCAGUAACCACGAAAAUGUCAAACACCCGGUCCUGGAUUAGUUUAGAGAACUUCAAACGCCAGAUGCUCUGGAAUCCAAGCUGAUGAUUUGAGGGGAAACUGUUGCAGCUUUCACUUUUGCGACAUCAGCACCCAUGCUAGUGGGGACGUCAUGGAUCUUUUUGUUUCGAGUAAAUGGCAUUAGUGCACUGCGUAUGGUCGAUAGCACCCGAUCAUUAUGGCCAAGACUUUCAACACUAAAUCAAUCAAUGACUCAAGAGAUUUUGCACAAUAUUUGUCUUCUCAUUCCAUGUUCGGCUCCUCCUAUUUCAUCUCUGAUAACCUGAGCUUCUUUUGAGGUGACUUCUAGUGGAACUACUUCAAAAUCUCUGGUAUUUUUGUCACUCGAAAAUGGUAUGGACUCUGCGACUUGACGAGGCAGGAAACUAACUUUGGUUCCACUAUUAGUAAAAAGAAAUGUCAUCUUUUUGCCAGGGUGGAGGUCGUUGUACUGGUAGAAUAUCGUUGAGGCUGGGUUUUUUUUAAUGGUUAUCUUGUAUCAGGAUGAAGUUGAUGGCAGUCCCCUGUGAAACAAUAUAAUCAAAUAUUUUGUGGUUGCCAUGUUUUUUCUA